AUUGAACGCUGGCGGCAGGCCUAACACAUGCAAGUCGCGCGAGCGGCGGACGGGUGAGUAAUGUAUGGGGACUGCCCGAUAGAGGGGGAUAACUACUGGAAACGGUAGCUAAUACCGCAUACUAUCGGAUAACCCAUAUGGGAUUAGCUAGUUGGUGAGGUAAUGGCUCACCAAGGCGACGCUCCCUAGCUGGUCUGAGAGGAGGGUCCGCCACACUGGGAUUGAUACACGGCGCAGACUCCUACGGAGGCAGCAGUGGGGAAUAUUGAACAAUGGGCGCAAGCCUGAUGCAGCCAUGCCGAGUGUAGGAAGGAGGCCCUAGGGUUGUAAAGUACUUUCAGUCGGGAGGCGUUACCGACAGAAGAAGCACCGGCUAACUCCGUGCCAGCAGCCGCGGUAAUUC
rnacentral:rRNA from 1 species